rnacentral:rRNA from 1 species
UACGAAGGGACCUAGCGUAGUUCGGAAUUACUGGGCUUAAAGAGUUCGUAGGUGGUUGAAAAAGUUGGUGGUGAAAUCCCAGAGCUUAACUCUGGAACUGCCAUCAAAACUUUUCAGCUAGAGUAUGAUAGAGGAAAGCAGAAUUUCUAGUGUAGAGGUGAAAUUCGUAGAUAUUAGAAAGAAUACCAAUUGCGAAGGCAGCUUUCUGGAUCAUUACUGACACUGAGGAACGAAAGCAUGGGUAGCGAAGAGGAUUAGAUACCCUCGUAGUCCAUGCCGUAAACGAUGUGUGUUAGACGUUGGAAAUUUAUUUUCAGUGUCGCAGCGAAAGCGAUAAACACACCGCCUGGGGAGUACGACCGCAAGGUUAAAACUCAAAUGAAUUGACGGGGACCCGCACAAGUAGUGGAGCAUGUGGUUUAAUUCGAAGAUACGCGCAGAACCUUACCAACACUUGACAUGUUCGUCGCGACUCUAAGAGAUUAGAGUUUUCGGUUCGGCCGGACGAAACACAGGUGCUGCAUGGCUGUCGUCAGCUCGUGUCGUGAGAUGUUGGGUUAAGUCCCGCAACGAGCGCAACCCUCACUUUUAGUUGCCAUCAUUAAGUUGGGCACUCUGAAAGAACUGCCAGUGAUAAGCUGGAGGAAGGUGGGGAUGACGUCAAGUCCUCAUGGCCCUUACGUGUUGGGCUACACACGUGCUACAAUGGUAUCUACAACAGGAAGCAAGACGGCGACGUUAAGCAAAUCCUUAAAAGAUACCUCAGUUCGGAUUGCACUCUGCAACUCGAGUGCAUGAAGCUGGAAUUACUAGUAAUCGUGGAUCAGCGUGCCACGGUGAAUGCGUUCCCGGGUCU